GUAGAUUGCGGAUCCGCGGCCGCAGAGUUUGAUCCUGGCUCAGAACGAACGCUGGCGGCAUGCCUAACACAUGCAAGUCGAACGAAGUCUUCGGACUUAGUGGCGCACGGGUGCGUAACGCGUGGGAAUCUGCCCUUGGGUACGGAAUAACUCAGAGAAAUUUGUGCUAAUACCGUAUAAUGACUUCGGUCCAAAGAUUUAUCGCCCAGGGAUGAGCCCGCGUAAGAUUAGCUAGUUGGUGGGGUAAAAGCCUACCAAGGCGACGAUCUUUAGCUGGUCUGAGAGGAUGAUCAGCCACACUGGGACUGAGACACGGCCCAGACUCCUACGGGAGGCAGCAGUGGGGAAUAUUGGACAAUGGGCGAAAGCCUGAUCCAGCAAUGCCGCGUGAGUGUUGAAGGCCCUAGGGUUGUAAAGCUCUUUUACCCGGGAUGAUAAUGACAGUACCGGGAGAAUAAGCUCCGGCUAACUCCGUGCCAGCAGCCGCGGUAAUACGGAGGGAGCUAGCGUUGUUCGGAAUUACUGGGCGUAAAGCGCGCGUAGGCGGUUUUCCAAGUCAGGGGUGAAAGCCCGGGGCUCAACCCCGGAAUAGCCCUUGAAACUGGAAGACUAGAAUCUUGGAGAGGUCAGUGGAAUUCCGAGUGUAGAGGUGAAAUUCGUAGAUAUUCGGAAGAACACCAGUGGCGAAGCGACUGACUGGACAAGUAUUGACGCUGAGUGCGAAAGCGUGGGGAGCAAACAGGAUUAGAUACCCUGUAGUCCACGCCGUAAACGAUGAUACUAGCUGUCCGGGUUCAUAG
rnacentral:rRNA from 1 species